rnacentral:rRNA from 1 species
GAUGAACGCUAGCUACAGGCUUAACACAUGCAAGUCGAGGGGAAACGAUAGAGAAAGCUUGCUUUUUCUAGGCGUCGACCGGCGCACGGGUGAGUAACGCGUAUCCAACCUGCCCAUCACUUGGGGAUAACCCUGCGAAAGUAAGACUAAUACCCAAUGAUAUCUCUAGAAGACAUCUGAAAGAGAUUAAAGAUUUAUCGGUGAUGGAUGGGGAUGCGUCUGAUUAGCUUGUUGGCGGGGUAACGGCCCACCAAGGCGACGAUCAGUAGGGGUUCUGAGAGGAAGGUCCCCCACAUUGGAACUGAGACACGGUCCAAACUCCUACGGGAGGCAGCAGUGAGGAAUAUUGGGUCAAUGGACGAGAGUCUGAACCAGCCAAGUAGCGUGCAGGAUGACGGCCCUAUGGGUUGUAAACUGCUUUAUAAGGGAAUAAAGUGAGUCUCGUGAGGCUUUUGCAUGUACCUUAUGAAUAAGGACCGGCUAAUUCCGUGCCAGCAGCCG